rnacentral:rRNA from 1 species
ACCUGACUGCUAUCGGAUUGAUACUAAGCCAUGCGAGUCAUUGUAGCAAUACAAGGCAUACGGCUCAGUAACGCGUAGUCAACCUAACCUAUGGACGGGAAUAACCUCGGGAAACUGAGAAUAAUGCCCGAUAGAACACUAUACCUGGAAUGGUUUGUGUUCCAAAUGAUUUAUCGCCAUAGGAUGGGACUGCGGCCUAUCAGUUUGUUGGUGAGGUAAUGGCCCACCAAGACUAUUACAGGUACGGGCUCUGAGAGGAGUAGCCCGGAGAUGGGUACUGAGACACGGACCCAGGCCCUAUGGGGCGCAGCAGGCGAGAAAACUUUGCAAUGUGCGAAAGCACGACAAGGUUAAUCCGAGUGAUUUGUGCUAAACGAAUCUUUUGUUAGUCCUAGAAACACUAACGAAUAAGGGGUGGGCAAGUUCUGGUGUCAGCCGCCGCGGUAAAACCAGCACCUCAAGUGGUCAGGAUGAUUAUUGGGCCUAAAGCAUCCGUAGCCGGCUCUGUAAGUUUUCGGUUAAAUCUGUACGCUUAACGUACAGGCUGCCGGGAAUACUGCAAAGCUAGGGAGUGGGAGAGGUAGACGGUACUCGGUAGGAAGUGGUAAAAUGCUUUGAUCUAUCGAUGACCACCUGUGGCGAAGGCGGUCUACCAGAACACGUCCGACGGUGAGGGAUGAAAGCUGGGGGAGCAAACCGGAUUAGAUACCCGGGUAGUCCCAGCUGUAAACUAUGCAAACUCGGUGAUGCAUUGGCUUGUGGCCAAUGCAGUGCUGCAGGGAAGCCGUUAAGUUUGCCGCCUGGGAAGUACGUACGCAAGUAUGAAACUUAAAGGAAUUGGCGGGGGAGCACCACAAGGGGUGAAGCCUGCGGUUC